GAGUUGAUUUAGCUUAAUUAACUUAAGGGUAGGAAUAUUAAACCUAGGUAUUCAUCUCUCGGCCGAUUCCUCGCGAUUUUUCCCAAAGUCGCCGACAUAACCUCCGAACGGUGCUUCCCACCGUGCCCUAAAGCUUCGAUCAGAUGCCACUACACGCGGACGAGCUUCUGGAAACGGCCUCUUCGACGGCGCUAAAGCCUCGGUGAGAGCUUCGAGCGGUGGUAUGAGGGAGAGAAAGGCAAGUUCAUAUCCUUAUGGUAUUGGGAGAUCUAUGAGGUGAGGAUGACUUCCAAGAUAUGCUGGAAGGCCCACGGACGGAGUAGUCGAGGAGGCGGGAUGGACGCAUAGUUCUGUCCGUUGUCCGGGAGUGCAGUGCACACGAGAUCUACCGUGAGAGAUUUUCAUUUUCUUUGUCAUUCGGGUGGGGAAAUGUUGAGGGGUUAUUGUCAUUAUUGAUACACAUUUGUUGAUACAGUCUUGUCUAUUGGUUAUGAUAGUUCCGUUAUGGUUCUGCAA